CAGUAGCCGCGGGAAUACGAAGGGGGCUAGCGUUGUUCGGAUUUACUGGGCGUAAAGCGCACGUAGGCGGACUUUUAAGUCAGGGGUGAAAUCCCGGGGCUCAACCCCGGAACUGCCUUUGAUACUGGAAGUCUUGAGUAUGGUAGAGGUGAGUGGAAUUCCGAGCGUAGAGGUGAAAUUCGUAGAUAUUCGGAGGUACACCAGUGGCGAAGGCGGCUCACUGGACCAUUACUGACGCUGAGGUGCGAAAGCGUGGGGAGCAAACAGGAUUAGAGACCCCUGUAGUCCCUGUCUCUUAUAC
rnacentral:rRNA from 1 species